CCAUCUGCUGCCCAUCUGUCCUCCUGCACAACCCAGGCAUUUGUGCUGCUGCCACUGGUCAGGUUUUUCCCCCGGCCUAUGUUUGUGUGCUGUGUCAGGGGCAGAAGACUUCAGGACAAUGAGGGGGUCCAGUUAUUGCCACUUUGGCAAUGGAAUUAACUUUGAACUCCUAAAUGACUUAGGACCAAGGUAUCUAAAGGACUGCCUCCUCCUAUACAAAUGAGCCUAUCCUGAGAUCCUCUGGAGACCCUUUGCCUUCUGAGGCUCAUCUGGUGGUAACAUGUGAAGCAGACUUCACCCUUGUGACACCUACCCUGUAGAAUCCCUUUCACCAGAGCUAAAUGGCAUUAUUGUGAGCUGUUCAGGGUCGUUAUGCAGAUGCACUUCCUGGAAAAGAUGCUGCUUCAGAAUAAGCCAUUACUUUUUGUAGGCCCCACAGGCACUGGAAAGACAGCUAUUACAAACAACUUCCUGUGACAGUUACCUCAUGAAAAAUAUGUUAGAUGUCAAAUUAACAUCUCAGCACAGACCUCAACUAAUCAGACCCACAACAUUUUCUAACAAAACCUGAAAAGGACCCAAUGUUGUAAUUAAAAUCAAGUGCGUAAUUGUGCUUAGUUUACUCAAGAGCAUUUGUU